rnacentral:rRNA from 1 species
GUGGGGAAUAUUGGACAAUGGGCGAAAGCCUGAUCCAGCAAUGCCGCGUGAGUGAUGAAGGCCUUAGGGUUGUAAAGCUCUUUUACCCGGGAUGAUAAUGACAGUACCGGGAGAAUAAGCUCCGGCUAACUCCGUGCCAGCAGCCGCGGUAAUACGGAGGGAGCUAGCGUUGUUCGGAAUUACUGGGCGUAAAGCGCACGUAGGCGGCUAUUCAAGUCAGGGGUGAAAUCCCGGGGCUCAACCUCGGAACUGCCUUUGAAACUGGAUGGCUAGAAUCCUGGAGAGGCGAGUGGAAUUCCGAGUGUAGAGGUGAAAUUCGUAGAUAUUCGGAAGAACACCAGUGGCGAAGGCGACUCGCUGGACAGGUAUUGACGCUGAGGUGCGAAAGCGUGGGGAGCAAACAGGAUUAGAAACCCUGGUAGUCC